GACGGAGGAUGCAAGUGUUAUCCGGAAUCACUGGGCGUAAAGCGUCUGUAGGUGGUCAAAUAAGUCAACUGUUAAAUCUUGAGGCUCAACCUCAAAAUCGCAGUCGAAACUAUUCGACUAGAGUAUAGUAGGGGUAAAGGGAAUUUCCAGUGGAGCGGUGAAAUGCGUAGAGAUUGGAAAGAACACCGAUGGCGAAGGCACUUUACUGGGCUAUUACUAACACUGAGAGACGAAAGCUAGGGGAGCGAAUGGG
rnacentral:rRNA from 1 species